ensembl:lncRNA
GGUACGCAUCUCAGAAGCCUCUUUGGUCUUCUCUCCUCAUGCUUAGCCAGUUCCUAGAUUUCAUCUCCAUUCUUAAUCACCAACUCAUUCCCAGCUCACAUGAUCCCACAGAUUAUAGGCUAAGUCUUUAUCCCACGCCACUCUCACUCUGUGUCAUCUUGGAGCCACUAUGUCACCACUGGGGUAAUGGUGUGAAGGGGGCAGAAAAAGAGGCUUAUCUUCUUUAGCACACUUCAGAGGGACUCCAGUAGAUCAAUGUUUCUCUAAACUGGGGUGAUGGGAGGAGGUAUAGAGAUGUGUUCUCAAGGGUCCAUGAGUUUUCUCUGGGGCUUUUUAAGAGAUGUGUAUUUAUUUCAAUUAUGACGUGACAAAAAUUGGUAUUAGUACACUCUAGAGGUUGAAACUGCACACCCUGGAGUCAGAGUUCCUGGAUGCAAAUCCUAACUUUGCCACUUGGCAGAGUGUGCCCUUCUACCUGGGUUCCUGGACAAGAUGAGAAGUUGAAUAAAGUAAACGAAUUUUUCCUCUUGACCUUCUUUCCUUCCACCUUAUCCAGGCGAGUGAGGAACCCAUUCUAGUUUGUAUUUACAGUUAAGUCCUUGCCUUUGUACUAGACUUGCUGGAGGAAGUGACACCUGAACUGAUGCUGAAAAAAGUGAGCAGGCAUCCACCAGUACAUGUGUUACGUAAGCCAUUAAGUUUCUUUCUACAGUGCCUUGUGGUUUGCAAUGAAUUCUCCCAUGCAUUUGGUCCUGACAAAACCUAAAUGAAGUAAGGAAGCAAUACAUAAAUUUAUAUGUAGCUAAUCUGCAUUAUUCACAGAUUCCACAAGUACCAGUUCGCCUGCUGGUUAAAUUUUAUCUGUAAUCCCCAAAUCAACACUUGCAGUACUUUUCAGUCAUUUUCAGACACAGGCAGAGCAGUGAAAUAUUUGAGCACCCACUGCACGCGUUCCCAGCUGAGAUCAAACAAGGUGACGCUUGGCCUUCUUACUUCAGCUCUCAUACUGCAAACAAGUGUCCUUUUUGCUGUCUAUUUAGUGCCACAUUUUCCACAUUCUGUGCUCUUUUUGGUAGAGAUUUUGCUGUUUAAAAUGUCCCUAAACAUAGUGGUGCACAGGGAGGCUGUCAUGUGUCUUAUAGAGAAAAUAUAUGUUAGAUGAUCACAUUUUAUAGGCCAAACUGUCAGAAAUAAUGAGAAUACAGUGCAGAUUUAUUAUAUAAUAUAUACAGUAUAAAAAAUAAAGGGAACUGAGGCUCAGAGAGGUUAGAGAAUUUUCCCCAAAGCCCGAGGUCACAGAUCUCCUGGGUCCCAGGCAGGUCUGAGUCCAUGCUCCAUCUACUACUACCUUCUGCCUUUAAGGGGGGUUCAUGGCCAAAAGUGUUGUGUGAACAAUCGCCAUUUGCAGAAUUUGGGUAAGGAGGAUUCACUCCAGAUGUUUUUAGCCUCUCCUUCACUAUACUAGUCUGUGUUGCCCCUUCUCUCUGUCCCUCUUUGUUUUUGGAUCAUCUGUAAUUACCUUGUUAUCACAUGGAAGAUCCUUCCAAGCAAAUGAAUCUGUAGGUACUUCUUGCUAUGUAGCACACGUCUUUCCAAGGAGGGAUCUAGGAAAAGAGCAGGACAGCCAACCUGGGGAUCAACUCCUGUUGAAGCUUAUACAUGAGCCAAUGACAGUUCUCCUCCCUUCUUACCAAUAUUUUAAACUCUAGAAUGGAACAGAUGGAAGGAGAGGUGUUAAAGGGACAUCUGCAGCCUUCUUGAUCCUCGCCCUCUGCUCCCCCACCAGACUUCACAAACCCUUGCAAUUCCUACCCCUCCCCAUUGAGGAGCAACACCUUUCUGUAAGCGUUUCCAAACACUCAGUUUAAUUUUUGGAAAUUUAGAUCCAACAUAUCUCUUUUCACAGGUCCCACAAUGCUUUAGUGAUGAUGAGUUUGACAGGCAUGACAGAAGAAAGGCAGGAGGGCGGAGGAGAAGAGAGAGGAUUAACAAGUGUCUAAGAAGUGGCGUUUAUAUUUAGAAUUUCCUUCCUUUCAAGGGUUGGUGUGCCAGUCAGGACUCUUAUUAUAAACAACAGAAUCCACUUAGCUCAUUUUAAUAGAAAGAGAAAUUAUUAAAGAAUAUUACAUAGUUCACAGAAUCUCCAGGACAGCCAAGGAGUUCAGCAUAAAGGUGGCCACCCAGGGAAAUGCCCAAACCAAAAAGUGCGAUUACUCCUUCAAAGAGCCCACGGGCAACAUGCCUCGCAUAAACACCAUGGCCUUCACCAAAAACACUGAGCGCUGAACACCAGAACCAGAACCGCAGGCUCUGACACCUCCAAGGCUUUCUGUUCCACUUCCUAAUUGGAUUUUUCCAUGGGCACAUCUGAUUCAUGGAGCUCAGGUCACACAGCUAAGGGACUGACCUGGUCUCAGACCUAAUGGAUCCCCAAAUGGGGACCAGGUCAACUUGUUAACUUGCUGAGUGACCUCAGGGAAGUCACUGAAUUCAUUUGUUCUAGUUUCCUCAUCCUUAAUAUGGAGGAUUCAGCUCAGUGUGCUCUUAAGGUGACUUUCAGCUCAGAAAUGCUGUAAUUUGGUAAUUUUAAGCAUCUGAGAAUGUUUUAUUUAGCACUCAGCCACCCCAGGAUGUUUGGUAAAAUCUGAUCAUUUGGACAAGUCCCAGGAAAAGAACAGAUCAGAGCCUGCAUUGGGUGUUGGAAGCCCACCUGAUGGGAGAAUAUGUGUAUAUAGUGGGAGGUAGGGAGGUCGCUGAUGAGAGUAUGGAGACUUUUAGAACUAGAAGGAAUUAAAAACUAUUCAGGUUUCCCCCUCUCUCUCUUUUUCUCUUUCUCUCUCUCUCUUUCCUUCCUUCCUUCCCUUCUCCCUCCCUUCCUUCUUUUCUUCCUUCCUGCUUUCUCUUUCUCUCUUUCAAUUAUGGAAACAGCCUCAGAGAAGGAAAUAAUGAAUCUAAGGUCACAGAGCUAGUUAAAGGCAGGACUGGGAAUAGCAUUAGCUUUUCUGCUUUCCAUUCCAGGGUUCUUUCCCCAGUGCAGGAAUGACAAACUGAUUUCCUUCCCUUUCCUGUGCUAAUUCUAAUGAAAUAGCAACGGCUACCUUGAGCAUGGUCUUUAGGAAGGCUCCCAGGUCUUUCAGGACUCAGUGGGAAGAGUGCUGUAACUGAUUAGCAAUGUCUGUCAUGACCACAGGAGGGGAGAAUAGUCACCCGGGUUUUGCCAUCCCUAAUUUGCCAGGUCUCAUAGAACCAAAUUGUCAGUGAGGAACUAGAGGCUCAUUCUCCAUUGAGAACCAAUAGAUGAAAGAAAAAUGGAAAACGGUAUAGCUAGUCCUGCAGAAGACUCUUGAAAGUACUUAGCCCCAAAUUAAGAGGUGAUAGUCAGUGUAUGCUUAGGGAACCAUCUCACACCUACAUUCAAAGUUUGCUAAGUAACACUGGAAACAAAGAGAAUUGCAAACUGUUAAAAGGGCAUGUGAAAGCCAGGAUGUGAGAGCUGGGGGAACAAGUUCCUAGAAAAGCAGAAUAAGAUAGCAAUUAAGUUAGUGACACACUGUACAAUACGCACCCAGAAGUAGGGUUUUUUUGGGGGGAGGGGGAGUGAGGGGUUAUAUUGUUCUAACUAAAAUAUCCCUGCUUAGACUAAGACAGUAAAAUUAAUUGAUUUAUUUUCAUGAACAGUUAUAUGUAAAAUCUAUAAGAGCCUGUGAAUUGGGCAAUCCCAAGCCUAAAUUUAAUUCUAGUUAAUGAUAAUAAUAAUAAUAACUAUCUUAAUCCUCAUUAGAAUCAUGUGAGAUAAAUACUGUUAUCAUCACUGUUUCAUAGAUGGGAAAACUGAGCUUUAGAUGGCCUGAGGGACUGCCCUAAGAUCAUACAAUAAAAGGGCAGCAGACCUGGGAUUUGACUAGAACUCAGGAUUUUUUUCCUUCAUGUUAAUUAAAAGCAGAGUCCAACCUGAGGCAUGUUUGAAAAUCUGUGGGAUUUACUAGACGUGAGGUAUGGACCUUUGCAGAACUGGCCCUGAAAUCCUAACCCCUCUUAGCAGAAAAUCGACAUGAUCUUCCUCUUGUUUUCAUCUACUGAAAUUCAAAUCACCAAACUUCUUAGCCUCUCUGGGAAAACUAAACGACUUACCACCGCUUCAAAGGAAGCUCAUGGGGUUUGUGCACAGUGAUUUCACAUCUUCCCUGAAACACCAACACAGCCAAUCCAGGUUAAAGGAUAUCAGCAUUGCCACAUACUCUUCUUUUUCCCAAAUUAAUCAAGAAGUAGGAAUUUCUGACAAAUGCCAUCUGCUGAUUUUUCAGAGAGACAAGUUUUGGUGGUGUGACCAGCAGGUGCCUCGGCUUUUUCUAGCAUGCAGUACCAAAAUAGUCACCAUGGCAACCCUCAGAGGGCAGACUUCCAAAGAAAUGCAUUGUGAGCACAGAAACUCUAGAGCACUUUCAAGCAAGAAGGAAGGAGGCUCAGUGGGCAGGUUUCCAAUGAGGGGAGCAGGAGCUUCUCUGCACACCCCCAGGCAGGACCCCAAGUUUCUAUGUAGUUGGUACAGCCAGGCUCUCAGUUACCCUGGGGCUCAUGCUCCCAGGAAGAGAGAGAAAAUGUGAAUCUGUGGGGCGUGGCAGGCAGAACAGGCAACUCCCUGAUUUUUUGCAGGGACUAAAGUGGCUUGGGAGUGGGACAAGUCCUUUGGAGGAAGGACAAAAGAGGUGGGGCCCUGAGGUGGGAGACAGGAAACUUGGGUCUUAAUCACUAACCAAGUGACCUUGGGCUGUUGACCACCUUUCCAAGUCACAGCUUCUCAUUUGUGAAAUGGGGGUGGUGAACUCACUCUGCCUCAUCAUGGGGGAAAUUGAGGAUAUAUCACCCUUGUGGAGGCUUUUGGUAAAAUGCUCAGUGGGCAGCGAAGGGCAAAAAGAGCAUAGGCUCAGCUACUUUCUGAUCCUAUGAGCCUGCGUAGGUGUCAGAGCAUCCCAGGCUUCGUUCUCCUCACCUCACAGGGAAGAUAAUAAGAGCUGCAUGGCCAUGUGAGUGUUCAGGUUAAUGGGGUACACAUGCGUGAUCAGGGGUGCAAGUCUGUGCUCCUUCCCAUGGGCUCCUGGGACUUAUAAAUCCGUGGCUCGCCUAUGACCUGGGUUUCCACGCUCCCCUAUGGUGUUAGAAGCACACAUACCAAGACAGGAUUACACAUGAGGAUUUUACUUGGGCAAACACUUGAAAGAAAAGGGAGAGGCCAGCCAGGAUGCAAGUCUUACCCGAAACCAGGAUGUAGGGAAAGAAUUUUGGGCAGAAGCACCCUAGACCCGCCAUAUGCUCUCAGCAGGCUCAGCAAGGCCAUGAGGGAGUCUUCAAAUCUUAGUCUGCUAUAAGAGAAGGCCCUACCUCCUGGAUGCCAGGAGUGCUAGCACCCCCGCCUCACUCAGUGGCUGAUUGGCUGCAUGAACCCAUAGGAAGUGUGGCUUCAACAAAGAUGUGCACAGCAGCUGGGACCCUUGGUCAGUUUGGUUCCGUGUCUGCAAAGCAUGUCUUGUGGCACUGCAGCUAUCCCCCAUACUAACAUCUUUCACUUUGGCACCCACAACAGGUGCUUUUCUCAGCCCAUACCUCCACUCCAGGAAACUUGCACCCUACACCCACAGUCCUCUCAUCCAGACCAUUAUGAACUUGGGCUCCAAGAUGUCUCUAGACCUUAACUCUGGGAGAAAUAAUAUUCUUGGUUAGGUUAUAUAGCACAGCUGCACGUGCCCCAUGUCUCUGUCUAUACUUAAGUGCACACAUGUGUGGGUACACAUGCUUAUUUGUCAGUGUGCAUGUAUAUGAGUGAGCAUAUGUGGAUGAGCAUUUAUAAUUGUGUACAUGCAUGUGAAUUUAUACAAUGAUAUCUAGAACUAUGCUAAGCGUUUUACCAUAGUAUCUUCAUCUUUCCAACUAUCUUCGAGGUAGAUAAGGUAGAUAAAUCUAAAUGUUUUCCCUACCACGCCAUUCAGCUAAUACAAAAGCAGAGCCCAGGAUUGAAUUAGGAAUGUUUUCUUUGAGAUCUGAGCUCUUGUCCUCCCCAUCACACCUACUCAUAUGGCCAUUUGUUGCAUGAAACCACGUAUGUAGGUAUAUAUAAGAAAGGUUAAGACAGAAGAGGGAAAUACACCAUGGAGAGGUUAGAUUGAUUAUAGAUGGGUGGCUGAUAAAGGGACAUGCUCUCAGAAGUCACACACACUCCCCCCAUAUAAUUCUAUUUGUGUAUGUCAUCUGGAAACAUACUGCAUUCCUNNNNNNNNNNNNNNNNNNUUCCUGCUAUAAGAAUUUCUAUAUAAUAAGCUACAGCACAAAUUUUAGAAAUUCUAAGAAAUUUGAGGCUCUGAUUCUUCUAGUAUAAUCCUACAGGAGUCCCUUUCCUUGUCCUUUCCCCAAAUCCUUGCUUCCAUGGCAAUUUUUU